AGUUCAAUAUGCUUUAUAGGAAGGUCCAGAGAAGGGACUGCCCUGCUGAGGAGGUCCAGAGAAGGGACUGCCCUGCUGAGGGUUAUUUGAGUGCGGGUGGGUGUGUAUAUGUUAUUUGGAGGCAUUCACUGGACUCACAAGACUCUUUCUAAAGAUAUGGCAUUGGGAUGCAGCCCAGCUUCGAACUUAUGCUCCCCCGACUUACUCCCAGGUGCUGGGGUUGUAAGUACACAGCACCAUGCCCAGCCAUUGGUUUCAUUUUUGUUUGUUAAAGUGGGAAGAGAAGCCUCCGAGUGGCUCUGAGCCCUGAGGCCACUGGGCCUCCUGUGCUCAGUGUCAGUGCAGGAGAUCAAGUCUGAAGUCAGAAGAACGAGAACAGAGAAAACUGGCUCCAGGCAGGGUGGGGCACUGAAGCUGGGGAAAGGCAGUCAAGGCCAGGAUCCAUUUGAAGGUGCAUCCACACCCUUACUAAAUCAGAUGUGGUUGUAAGAGCAAGAGAGGCGUGUGGAAGGACUGAGGUGUCAGUCUAAACAAAUGGAAGAGAGCUUCACUAUGGAAGUUAUUCAUUCAAUCAAUUGAUUGAAUCACAUGAGCUAGUGUGUGUGACAAGAGGAUAAUUUGUGGAAGUCAGUUCUCUCCUUAGACCAUAUGGAUCUUAGAAUUUAGGCUGCCUGGUUUGGUAGCAGGUGUCUUUACCUACUGGGCCAUCUCCCCUAUCCUGUGACUGUUAUUCCUAAUGAAUGGAUCAACUAUUGCAUGAAAAUAUAAGAUACAGCCGUUACUCACCAGGUACUAGCGCUCGCCCCUUUCCACAUGCUGUAGGAAUAGUCAGCGUUUCUGUAGGACAUGACGCUCACCAUCCCUGUGAGGAACCAGAACAGAAGAACACAGCCCUUCACUUCCUGGGCAGGCUGGAUCAGCCUGGUGAGUGAGCCCUCUGUGCUGUGAGCAGCUUGAGCUCUGUGGCCAACACUGGGCUUCUCACAGGAACUGUGUGAACUACUUGAGCUGGGAAUCAAAUAGAACCUUCUGCUCCCAUUCAGAGAGGAUGGGAGAGCCCCGUAGAGUCUGGAGACAGGUGUCUUGGUUUGCAUCCAAGCGUUUUGGUAAGUUAAGCCAAAAUGCCUCAGAAAGAGAACAUGCCAUGUUUUUUUUUUUCUUGCUAAAAUUCUUUAUAAGUAAUAAUAUAUGUAUAAUUCUUAACAAUUUAAAUAUUAUGUUCAAUAAUAUAUUUGCUUAGAAUUCUGUAAAAUUAUGUAU
rnacentral:lncRNA from 1 species